AGGACGAACGCUGGCGGCGUGCCUAAUACAUGCAAGUCGAACGGUCUUUCUAUGGAAGCUUGCUUCCACUGGGAAGAUAGUGGCGAACGGGUGAGUAACACGUGGGUAACCUGCCCAUAAGAGGGGGAUAACAUCCGGAAACGGGUGCUAAUACCGCAUAGUUUUCUUGAUCGCAUGAUUGAGAAAGGAAAGACGGCCUUUGUGCUGUCGCUUAUGGAUGGACCCGCGGCGUAUUAGUUAGUUGGUGAGGUAACGGCUCACCAAGACGAUGAUACGUAGCCGACCUGAGAGGGUGAUCGGCCACAUUGGGACUGAGACACGGCCCAAACUCCUACGGGAGGCAGCAGUAGGGAAUCUUCCGCAAUGGACGAAAGUCUGACGGAGCAACGCCGCGUGAGUGAAAGAAGGUUUUCGGAUCGUAAAACUCUGUUGUCAGAGAAGAACAAGUUGGAGAGUAACUGCUCCAGCCUUGACGGUAUCUGACCAGAAAGCCACGGCUAACUACGUGCCAGCCGCGGC
rnacentral:rRNA from 1 species